GGCUGGCUCUUAGAAAUGCCUCUGGAAAUGUGACUCACGGAAGAAGUAGCGGGAGGCUCCUAUGGCAUUCGCUCUAACGCGGGAAAGAUCAUUCCCUCUUACUGUACAUGUGACAGAAGUCACCACCUCUGCAUCCGCAAAUGAUGCAGAAGAAUGCAUCUGAAGAAGUGGGGACAUUUGAUGUUUUCUGAUAGUGUCUCCUCCCACACCAAACCCCCAUCCGUUGGUGAGGCCAACAAACACUCAUCGUUAAAUCAGUGAGGCCAGUCAAGAUGUCUGUAACACAGCAAGACACACAGCAAAAACAGCAGCAAUACCAGCAACAAACUUCUCUCUCCCUGCCUGCACACAUAACGAACAGCGAUCAUGCCUAGUAGGCUGUUGGGAAGUGCAUUAUCUUCUGACCUUAA